CAGUCGCCGCGGUAAUACGAAGGGUGCAAGCGUUAAUCGGAAUUACUGGGCGUAAAGCGUGCGUAGGCGGUGAGUUAAGUCUGCUGUGAAAUCCCCGGGCUCAACCUGGGAAUGGCAGUGGAUACUGGCUCGCUAGAGUGUGUCAGAGGAUGGUGGAAUUCCCGGUGUAGCGGUGAAAUGCGUAGAGAUCGGGAGGAACAUCAGUGGCGAAGGCGGCCAUCUGGGACAACACUGACGCUGAGGCACGAAAGCGUGGGGAGCAAACGGGAUUAGAUACCCCCGUAGUCCCUGUCUCUUAUAC
rnacentral:rRNA from 1 species